rnacentral:rRNA from 1 species
GACGAACGCUGGCGGCGUGCUUAACACAUGCAAGUCGAACGGUGAAGGGGUAUGCUUUUGUGGGCCCUGGAUGAGUGGCGAACGGGUGAGUAACACGUGAGUAACCUGCCCCCUUCUUCUGGAUAACCGCAUGAAAGUGUGGCUAAUACGGGAUAUUCUGGGUCUGUCGCAUGAUGGGUCUGGGAAAGAUUGCGCCUUUGGGUGUUUUUGGUGGGGGAUGGGCUCGCGGCCUAUCAGCUUGUUGGUGGGGUGAUGGCCUACCAAGGCGGUGACGGGUAGCCGGCCUGAGAGGGUGGACGGUCACACUGGGACUGAGACACGGCCCAGACUCGUACGGGAGGCAGCAGUGGGGAGUAUUGCACAAUGGGCGCAAGCCUGAUGCAGCGACGCCGCGUGAGGGAUGGAGGCCUUCGGGUUGUAAACCUCUUUCGCCAGUGAAGCAGGCCUGCUCCUUGUGGGUGGGUUGACGGUAGCUGGAGAAGAAGCGCCGGCUAACUACGUG